rnacentral:rRNA from 1 species
AGUGAACGCUGGCGGCAGGCCUAACACAUGCAAGUCGAACGGCAGCACGGCAGUAGCAAUACUGUGGGUGGCGAGUGGCGGACGGGUGAGGAAUACAUCGGGAUCUACCCUGUUGUGGGGGAUAACGUAGGGAAACUUACGCUAAUACCGCAUAAGAACUGAGGUUGAAAGCGGCGGACCGCAAGGCGUCGCGCGAUUGGAUGAACCGAUGUCCGAUUAGCUAGUUGGCGGGGUAAAGGCCCACCAAGGCGACGAUCGGUAGCUGGUCUGAGAGGACGACCAGCCACACUGGAACUGAGACACGGUCCAGACUCCUACGGGAGGCAGCAGUGGGGAAUAUUGGACAAUGGGCGCAAGCCUGAUCCAGCCAUGCCGCGUGAGUGAAGAAGG